rnacentral:piRNA from 1 species
UACAGGAUGGAACAUGAAGGCGGACU